UACGUAGGGACCGAGCGUUGUCCGGAUUCAUUGGGCGUAAAGAGCUCGUAGGCGGCUGUUCAAGUCGAACGUGAAAACUCGGAGCUCAACUCCGAGCCUGCGUUCGAUACUGGACGGCUAGAGUCUGGUAGGGGGAUCGUGGAAUUCCUGGUGUAGCGGUGGAAUGCGCAGAUAUCAGGAGGAACACCCGUGGCGAAGGCGGCCCUCUGGCUCGACCCUGACGCUGAGAGGCGAAAGCGUGGGGAGCGAACGGG
rnacentral:rRNA from 1 species